CCAGCUCCAAUAGCGUAUAUUAAAGUUGUUGCAGUUAAAAAGCUCGUAGUUGGAUCUCAGGCGCAGGCGGGCGGUCCGGCUCGCGCCGGCUCACUGCCCGUUGUUUCCUGCCCUACCCGUCUGCCGGCUCUCUCCCGCGCGGUGCUCUUCGCUGAGCGUCCCGGGUGGCCGGCGCGUUUACUUUGAAAAAAUUAGAGUGUUCAAAGCAGGCCUUGGUCGCCUGAAUAAUGGUGCAUGGAAUAAUGGAAUAGGACCUCGGUUCUAUUUUGUUGGUUUUCGGAACUGGAGGUAAUGAUUAACAGGGACAAACGGGGGCAUUCGUAUGGCGGCGUUAGAGGUGAAAUUCUUGGAUCGCCGCUAGACGAGCUACUGCGAAAGCAUUUGUCAAGAAUGUUUUCAUUAAUCAAGAACGAAAGUCAGAGGCGCGAAGACGAUCAGAUACCGUCGUAGUUCUGACCAUAAACGAUGCCAGCUCGCGAUCCGGGGGAGUUGAUUCGAUGACUCCGCGGGCAGCGUCCGGGAAACCAAAGCUUUUGGGUUCCGGGGGGAGUAUGGU
rnacentral:rRNA from 1 species